rnacentral:rRNA from 1 species
CGGGACACGUGGUAUCCUGUCUGAAUAUGGGGGGACCAUCCUCCAAGGCUAAAUACUCCUGACUGACCGAUAGUGAACCAGUACCGUGAGGGAAAGGCGAAAAGAACCCCGGCGAGGGGAGUGAAAAAGAACCUGAAACCGUGUACGUACAAGCAGUGGGAGCCUCUUUAUGGGGUGACUGCGUACCUUUUGUAUAAUGGGUCAGCGACUUAUAUUCUGUAGCAAGGUUAACCGAAUAGGGGAGCCGAAGGGAAACCGAGUCUUAACUGGGCGUUAAGUUGCAGGGUAUAGACCCGAAACCCGGUGAUCUAGCCAUGGGCAGGUUGAAGGUUGGGUAACACUAACUGGAGGACCGAACCGACUAAUGUUGAAAAAUUAGCGGAUGACUUGUGGCUGGGGGUGAAAGGCCAAUCAAACCGGGAGAUAGCUGGUUCUCCCCGAAAGCUAUUUAGGUAGCGCCUCGUGAAUUCAUCUCCGGGGGUAGAGCACUGUUUCGGCAAGGGGGUCAUCCCGACUUACCAACCCGAUGCAAACUGCGAAUACCGGAGAAUGUUAUCACGGGAGACACACGGCGGGUGCUAACGUCCGUCGUGAAGAGGGAAACAACCCAGACCGCCAGCUAAGGUCCCAAAGUCAUGGUUAAGUGGGAAACGAUGUGGGAAGGCCCAGACAGCCAGGAUGUUGGCUUAGAAGCAGCCAUCAUUUAAAGAAAGCGUAAUAGCUCACUGGUCGAGUCGGCCUGCGCGGAAGAUGUAACGGGGCUAAACCAUGCACCGAAGCUGCGGCAGCGACGCUUAUGCGUUGUUGGGUAGGGGAGCGUUCUGUAAGCCUGCGAAGGUGUGCUGUGAGGCAUGCUGGAGGUAUCAGAAGUGCGAAUGCUGACAUAAGUAACGAUAAAGCGGGUGAAAAGCCCGCUCGCCGGAAGACCAAGGGUUCCUGUCCAACGUUAAUCGGGGCAGGGUGAGUCGACCCCUAAGGCGAGGCCGAAAGGCGUAGUCGAUGGGAAACAGGUUAAUAUUCCUGUACUUGGUGUUACUGCGAAGGGGGGACGGAGAAGGCUAUGUUGGCCGGGCGACGGUUGUCCCGGUUUAAGCGUGUAGGCUGGUUUUCCAGGCAAAUCCGGAAAAUCAAGGCUGAGGCGUGAUGACGAGGCACUACGGUGCUGAAGCAACAAAUGCCCUGCUUCCAGGAAAAGCCUCUAAGCAUCAGGUAACAUCAAAUCGUACCCCAAACCGACACAGGUGGUCAGGUAGAGAAUACCAAGGCGCUUGAGAGAACUCGGGUGAAGGAACUAGGCAAAAUGGUGCCGUAACUUCGGGAGAAGGCACGCUGAUAUGUAGGUGAAGCGACUUGCUCGUGGAGCUGAAAUCAGUCGAAGAUACCAGCUGGCUGCAACUGUUUAUUAAAAACACAGCACUGUGCAAACACGAAAGUGGACGUAUACGGUGUGACGCCUGCCCGGUGCCGGAAGGUUAAUUGAUGGGGUUAGCGGUAACGCGAAGCUCUUGAUCGAAGCCCCGGUAAACGGCGGCCGUAACUAUAACGGUCCUAAGGUAGCGAAAUUCCUUGUCGGGUAAGUUCCGACCUGCACGAAUGGCGUAAU